GACGAACGCUGGCGGCGUGCCUAAUACAUGCAAGUCGAGGGGAGUGGCGAACGGGUGAGUAAUGUAUCGGAACGUGCCCAGUAGCGGGGGAUAACUACGCGCAAGCGUAGCUAAUACCGCAUACUAUUGGAGCGGCCGAUAUCGGAUUAGCUAGUUGGUGGGGUAACGGCUCACCAAGGCGACGAUCCGUAGCUGGUUUGCGAGGACGACAAGCAAUACUGGGACUGAGACACGGCCCAGACUCCUCCGGGAGGCAGCAGUGGGGAAUUUUGGAAAAUGGGGGAAACCCUGAUCCAGCCAUCCCGCGUGUGCGAUGAAGGCCUUCGGGUUGUAAAGCACUUUAAGUUGGGAGGCGUUACCAACAGAAUAAGCACCGGCUAACGUCGUGCCAGCCGCCGCGGUAAUAC
rnacentral:rRNA from 1 species